rnacentral:lncRNA from 1 species
CUUCCACAUAGCUCUCCUGCCUGCCAUGGACGGUGUGGACCGUGAUCUGGGCUGACAACCCUGACAUCCACCCAGCUAUGGUAAGGCCUCAGGUUCACUGUGGUCUCUAGAUUCCCUGAUAGCACACCUGCUCUCAGGCUCCGGCCACAGUGGACUUACUUUCACAAAGUAUACAGAGAGGGUAGCAUUGGACAUCUUAGUCUCCCCAAAAGUCCGGAUGUUGAAGGCUGCAAUUCUCAGAGUCCCAGCCAGCUGCAGCAGGUUGGCCAGGGUGAGCAGUGUUCCCAUUAACCCUGUGUACCGCAUCCUGUGAGAUUGGAUGGUCAGGACAAAGAAGCAGUGAAGCUCCCAUCCCCAUCAAAGACUAAAGCCUAGCUUGUGCUGAACCCGUGGGAGGCCCUCAGUCCUUCCCCUGUACUCACCUGAAAGCCAAUCUGAGAUGGCUGCAGCAGUCAGAACAGACCUGCUCUGUUGGUAUGAUGAGCCCCCGAGUCUGCUCUGGAACUGGAUGAACAAGAUGCUGUCUCCGCCAUGCCGGACAUCAACAGUAGGACCAGGAGCACACUCAGGAAUUACAAGAACAGACACCAGGAAGGUAGAAGCAGCUGAGUGCUUCUGGAGUUUUCAGUCAGAUCAACAAGGAAGUAUGUGCUGACAGCCAGUGACCAUAAGGAACACUGGCCACUUUUACGGAUCAGGUGAGCUUUUUAAAGGUCAGCUCUGAUGAUUUACAAUGUUCUCUUUAAAUUACUCUUGUCACAGAUACCGAAUGGGGAAGUAACGAAUAGCAAUAGAUUAUUAAAGUGUGAGCCAAGUCAAAGGAUAUGG